AUUGAACGCUGGCGGCAUGCCUUACACAUGCAAGUCGAACGGCAGCACGGGUGCUUGCACCUGGUGGCGAGUGGCGAACGGGUGAGUAAUACAUCGGAACAUACCUUAUCGUGGGGGAUAACGCAGCGAAAGCUGUGCUAAUACCGCAUACGCCCUGAGGGGGAAAGCGGGGGAUCGAAAGACCUCGCGCGAUUAGAGCGGCCGCUGCCUGAUUAGCUUGUUGGUGGGGUAAAAGCCCACCAAGGCGACGAUCAGUAGCUGGUCUGAGAGGACGAUCAGCCACACUGGGACUGAGACACGGCCCAGACUCCCACGGGAGGCAGCAGUGGGGAAUUUUGGACAAUGGGGGCAACCCUGAUCCAGCAAUGCCGCGUGAGUGAAGAAGGCCUUCGGGUUGUAAAGCUCUUUUGUCAGGGAAGAAACACCGGCUCUAACACAGUCCGGGAAUGACGGUACCUGAAGAAUAAGCACCGGCUAACUACGUGCCAGCCGCCGCAGUAA
rnacentral:rRNA from 1 species